rnacentral:rRNA from 1 species
UACGUAGGGGGCAAGCGUUGUCCGGAUUUAUUGGGCGUAAAGAGCGUGUAGGCGGUUUGGUAGGUCCGUUGUGAAAACUCGAGGCUCAACCUCGAGACGCCGAUGGAAACCAUCAGACUAGAGUCCGGAAGAGGAGAGUGGAAUUCCUGGUGUAGUGGUGAAAUGCAUAGAGAUCAGGAGGAACACCGGUGGCGAAGGCGGCCUACUGGGCUGUCACUGACGCUGAGGCGCGAAAGCUCGGGAGCGAACGGG